UACGAAGGGGACUAGCGUUGUUCGGAAUUACUGGGCGUAAGGCGCACGUAGGCGGAUUUGUUAGUCAGGGGUGAAAUCCCGGGGCUCAACCUCGGAACUGCCUUUGAUACUGCAAGUCUCGAGUCCGAUAGAGGUGGGUGGAAUUCCUAGUGUAGAGGUGAAAUUCGUAGAUAUUAGGAAGAACACCGGUGGCGAAGGCGGCCCACUGGAUCGGUACUGACGCUGAGGUGCGAAAGCGUGGGGAGCAAACAGG
rnacentral:rRNA from 1 species